UGCGGACAUCAAGAGACCUGAGCAAGUCGUCUAAAUCCAAUGUCGUCUUCUCCAUGAUCCACUGCGGAUCUCGAAUCUCUCUGGACAAUGUGCCGUUCCGAGUUGUGAAGGAAACCGUCAAAGUGUGCAUAUUUGGAACGGAGUACUACAAGAAAACUCAGGAGAAAAAAAAAAAAAGAACAGAGUUCAAGUACCACUGACUGGCAGAAGGAGGUGUACGAGAAG